UUUCCGUAGGUGAACCUGCGGAAGGAUCAUUAUUGAAUAAACCUGAUGUGGUUGUAGCUGGCCCUUUCGGGAGCAUGUGCACACCCGUCGUCUUUAUCUUUCCACCUGUGCACCUUUUGUAGACCUGGAUGUAACACUUUCCGAGGCAACUCGGUCGGGAGGCAUGCUGUCAGCUUUCCUUGAAUGUCCAGGCCUAUGUUUUCAUAUACCCCAAAGAAUGUAACAGAAUGUAUUAUUGGGCCUCGUGCCUAUAAACUAUAUACAACUUUCAGCAACGGAUCUCUUGGCUCUC
rnacentral:misc_RNA from 1 species